UUAUUCGUCUCUGACCUGACCCGAUUGUAAUUACCUGGGAAUCAGCUGUGUCUUUGGUGGAUGGUCUGUCAUUUAGGGGACUUCUUGAGGUGUCAGCAGACAGCCCUAGGUUAUGACGCCUUUCCGUGUCCUUCAGCAAGUCCCUUGUCCCUUUGGAGCCUCAGAUUCUCACUCUCAGUGAGUCUGGCUGUGGCCACCUCACAGCAAUGCUGUCCUAGAGGAGCCUCCACAGGUGGAGUGCUGGGCUGCGGGCCUGGCACCAGUCACUGUGAGAUGCUGCAGCUGAUGCUGUGCUCGGUUAGUGCUGUCCCUGGAAGCCCCGCCCCAGCAUGGCCAGGGUUUGCAGAUGUCCCAUCACAGGCUCCUUAGUUUCCAAAGUGAAGUCACAGCUGCCCCAAAUCUCUUACAGGACUCCAGCCCCAGAGCACAGGUGGGGGCCCUUCACCCACAUCUGCGUCCUCUGAUCUUUCUGUCUCGUUGCUGAUUCUGUUCUGUGGAACAAUCUGUACUGAGGGUUGGAAGAUGGUGGAGCCUCAACCCAGGGUCCCCACAACUACCCUGAUAGUAUAUAGAACCCAGUUCCAUUCUGCGUGCUGUACUGUUUCCAGAAGCCCAGACUGAAGCACUCAGACCAGAAGCAUCUCUGAGUGUCUCCUAGAUGCUGAGCUGGGUGUGACCAGAUUCGCCCUCCACUGGUCUCCUCCACUGUCUCCACUGAGAGAUGUGUCUCUGAUCAAGGGCUUUCUGCCUGUGAAACAUGAACCAGGCUGCAGCCCAAAGACGUCCAAAAGUCUGAGUCAGUGGGGGCAACUUUGGAUCCAGAGAAGUGGCUGGGGACCCUGGAACCUUGAUUCUUACCUGAGUCUGACAUGAAACUGAGGAGAUGCUGGAGGGGGCUCCCUGUUUCUGCUGCUGUCAGCUCAUCCAGAAGCCACAACCACUGAGAACACUGCUUAGGGUGCAGAGGCCCGAAAGAGGAGCAGCUGCUCACACAGACUCCCCUUACUGGAGAAUCUGCUCCAUCCUGAGCAUCAACUGAAGUCUGAGCUGGACUCUAUAGACAGACUAGAGUCUGAAGUCUCACCUGGAGCAGAAGGAAGGGGAAGAGCAGAGGAGGGGAUUUUGGACUAAGGAGUAGCAGUAGGAAGAUCAAAUUUCUCCAGUAAUCUGUGAAGCUUAGCCACAAAUGAUGCUCUCACAGUGAGAAAUAAAUGUGUCAGGGCACCGCCGCUGUAAGUUCACAAGCUCUCUCUCUGCUUGGGGCAUCUGGCAUCUGGCUCAGUGCGUCUUCAUGUCUGCUCUCCCCCAAUUCUGUGUUCACCAUCGCCCAGAGAUUCCAGUCAUCUAGUUUCAGCCCAGAUCUUGCCUGGGGUCAAGGGCUCUUCUGCCGUUCCUGUACUGGAAACCCUCACGGUCUAUUACUCCAUGUGCAUUGGGUCCUAAUGAAGACUUUUAGUUAGAGCUCCACGGAGUUCAUGGCGGUUGGAUGUCUCAGAUCUUGGUCCAAAGGAACAGAUGUUUGCUAUCAUCUUCCCAACCAAAGAACCAGAGG
ensembl:lncRNA